rnacentral:rRNA from 1 species
UCCGUAAGGUGAACCUGCGGAGGAUCAUUAAUGUA